rnacentral:rRNA from 1 species
ACGGGUGCGGAACACGUACACAACCUUCCUUUUAGUGGGGGAUAGCCCAGAGAAAUUUGGAUUAAUACCCCGUAACAUGUUGGUGAGGCAUCUCACUGAUAUUAUAGUGGCAACACGCUAGAAGACGGGUGUGCGUAUGAUUAGGUAGUUGGCGGGGUAACGGCCCACCAAGCCUUCGAUCAUUAACUGGUGUGAGAGCACGACCAGUCACACGGGCACUGAGACACGGGCCCGACUCCUACGGGAGGCAGCAGUAAGGAAUAUUGGUCAAUGGAGGAAACUCUGAACCAGCCAUGCCGCGUGGAGGAUGAAGGUCCUCUGGAUUGUAAACUUCUUUUAUAUGGGACGAAAAAAGGGAAUUCUUUCUCGACUGACGGUACCAUAUGAAUAAGCACCGGCUAACUCCGUGCCAGCAGCCGCGGUAAUACGGAGGGUGCAAGCGUUAUCCGGAUUCACUGGGUUUAAAGGGAGCGUAGGUGGGUUAGUAAGUCCGUGGUGAAAUCUCUGAGCUUAACUCGGAAACUGCCAUGGAUACUAUUAGUCUUGAAUAUUGUGGAGGUUAGCGGAAUAUGUCAUGUAGCGGUGA